CCGGCGCCAGCCGACCCCCAACCUUUAAUUAUCUCAGGUUGACCUCGGAUCAGGUAG
rnacentral:rRNA from 1 species